rnacentral:rRNA from 1 species
AUUGAACGCUGGCGGCAGGCCUAACACAUGCAAGUCGAACGAGUGGCGGACGGGUGAGUAAUGUCUGGGAAACUGCCUGAUGGAGGGGGAUAACUACUGGAAACGGUAGCUAAUACCGCAUACCAUCGGAUGUGCCCAGAUGGGAUUAGCUAGUGGGUGGGGUAAAGGCUCACCAAGGCGACGCUCCCUAGCUGGUCUGAGAGGAUGAUCGGCAACACUGGGACGGAGACACGGCCCAGACUCCUACGUGAGGCAGCAGUAGGGAAUCUUCGGCAAUGGACGAAAGUCUGACCGAGCAACGCCGCGUGUAUGAAGAAGGCCUUCGGGUUGUAAAGUACUUUCAGCGGGUAGGCGUUACCCGCAGAAGAAGCACCGGCUAACUCCGUGCCAGCAGCCGCGGUAAUUC